AGAGAGCGACGGGCGAUGUGUACACACUUCAGAGCUAAUUUCAAACAAGAAUUAUAUUCUCAAUUUACUUCUAAAUCCACCUUUAUAAUAUAACUACAUAUAUUAAUCCAUAUAAAUUCAAUUUAUUGUAACCCACUUCUCCCAUAUUUAUAGGCUGCACCUUGACCUGAAGUCUUAGAUCUCAACUAAUUAGAUUAUAUUUUUUAAAAAUAAUCUGACAACGGCGGUAUACAAACUGAAAACAAAAAUAUGUGCAUUUAAACGAGGAUUAUCGAUCCAAGAGCAGGUUCCUCUAGUAAGAAUAAAGUACCGCCAAAUUCUUUAGGUUUAAAUAAUUUUACUACCCCGGCAAUUAAUUCAAUAAAGAAUAAUAGGGUAUCUAAUCCUAGUUUAAGUCUUUAUUUAAAAAGAUAAUAAAUUCUCAAAAAGUUUUUAAUUUAAAAAAAUAAAAAUUUUACCUUUAAUUUUUUACCCAAAAAAUUUAUCUAAAAACUAAUAUUUACUUAAUUCCACCAAACUACUUCAUUCAGAUCCUUCGUAUAACC
rnacentral:rRNA from 1 species